rnacentral:rRNA from 1 species
UACGAACUGUGCGAACGUUAUUCGGAAUCACUGGGCUUAAAGGGUGCGUAGGCGGUUCUGUAAGUCAGUGGUGAAAUACUCUAGCUUAACUAGAGGGGUGCCAAUGAUACUGCAGAACUUGAGUACAGAUGAGGUAGGCGGAAUUGACGGUGUAGCGGUGAAAUGCAUAGAUAUCGUCAAGAACACCGAUAGCAAAGGCAGCUUACUGGGCUGUAACUGACGCUGAUGCACGAAAGUGUGGGGAUCAAACAGG